GGGGAUUUAGCUCAACAGCAUAAGCACCUGCCUUGCAAGCAGGCGGUCGAGAGUUCGACCCCCAGUACCAA
rfam:Cavia porcellus supercont2_10 genomic scaffold, whole genome shotgun sequence.